AACAAAUGUAACACACCGUGGAGUCACAGAUAAUGAUUUACGGACCAGGCUCAGAUAUAGGCUAAAGACAAUUUAUUUCGGGGAAAAGUCACUUACAGAAGAAGCAGAUGGCCGCCGCAGGUUCCCACUCUAAGGAUGUACACAGGCUGCUCUUCUGUGACCCAACCGGAAGCAAGGGAGAGUGCUGUGGUCCUACCAGAUCUAGUCGGACCCUCUGUCAUAUCUGCACCUGUAACCAUACCCAAACGGGCAUGGACAGUGCUACAGGUGUGGGCUGAGUGGAUGUCUUACUACAACACACAUUCACAUAGUUAAAGUACUAUUCCACACAUAAACAAUGUAACACACCUUUAGACAGUUAAUGUUCUACAGAAGAAACAACUGUAACACAUCUCUACACAGUUAAAUAUUCCACAAGAACUAGGGACAGGCUUUGAGAGUUUCUAAUCUCGCUCCAUUUCCCACUCAGUUUCCCUUUGCUUUCCGUGUGGGGUUGAAGAUGUGACAUGCCAUCUUCCAGAUCUGACUACCAGUUGCCAUGCCACCCUCAAGGCUUCCCCAUCCAUUAGACUCUCUGCUGGAACCAUAAACCAAGAGCGUCUGCCAGGCUACAAACGACAGUUCCAAAUCUGAUGUCACAUAGAUUGUGCCUGUUAAAAUCAGUGUGUCGCAAAACAAAAAGGCAUGGAUGUGGGGAAGGGAUCUUCCGAGAGGAUGGAGGCGGCAGGAGUGGAAGGAGAAAGGCCGACUCUAAGAGGAAACGGAAUGCAUUAUGUGUGUGCACAUGGAAAACUGCCAGUGAACACGUGAUCAGGGUGAACAACAAACAACAGCAGGAACGAUUUUACAGUGUUUGAAACAAGAUCUCUCGAUGAACCCCAUUCAGCAUGACUCACUGGCCACCAAGCCCCAGGGACAUGCCCAUCUGCCUUUCCAGAACUGGGAUUACAGGCACUAGUUGCCAAGCCCGGCUUUUUAUGGACUUAGAAUCACCAUGGAAACACACCUUCAGGUAUAUUUGUGAGGGUGUCUCCAGAGAGAUUUAGCAGAGGGAGAGAAAAAAAAAGACCCUCCCUGAAUGUGGACAGAGCAUCCUACAGGUUGGGGUCCUGGUCCACAUGAAAAGGAGGAAGUGACCUGAGCACCCACGUUCUUUUCUCUCUGCUCCAGUUCUUACCACCACGCCUUCCCCACCAUGGUGGACUUCAUCCUUGAACCGUGAGCCACAAGAAACCUUUCCUUCCUGAAGUCGAUUCUGCCAGGAAUUGUGUCACAGCUAUGAAUAAAGAACUGCUGGGGUUUUGUAGCAUCCAAAGCAGCGAACAUCACUUAAAAGAUGACAAUUUUCAUCACUCCAGCAAGUUCCCUUCUGUACGCUUAUAACUAACUGGGUCUCUACCGGGUCUCUCUAAACUCUAUUUCCAGAAACAAGCUGAUUUGGUUUGCAUAUAAAUGAAGUUAUGCAUUA